UCCGUAGGUGAACCUGCGGAAGGAUCAUUAUCGAGUUUUGACUGGGUUGUAGCUGGCCUUCCGAGGCAUGUGCACGCCCUGCUCAUCCACUCUACACCUGUGCACUUACUGUGGGUUUUACGGGUCGUGAAAUGGGCUCGUUCAUUCGGGCUUGUUGAGCGCACUUGUUGCCUGUGUUUAUCACAAACUCCAUAAAGUAUUAGAAUGUGUAUUGCUAUGUAACGCAUCUAUAUACAACUUUCAGCAACGGAUCUCUUGGCUCUCGCAUCGAUGAAGAACGCAGCGAAAUGCGAUAAGUAAUGUGAAUUGCAGAAUUCAGUGAAUCAUCGAAUCUUUGAACGCACCUUGCGCUCCUCGGUAUUCCGAGGAGCAUGCCUGUUUGAGUGUCAUGAAAUCUUCAAUCUACAAGCUUCUUAUGGGAGUUUGUAGGCUUGGACUUGGAGGCUUGUCGGUCCUUUACAGGUCGGCUCCUCUCAAAUGCAUUAGCUUGGUUCCUUGCGGAUCGGCUUGUCGGUGUGAUAAUGUCUACGCCGCGACCGUGAAGCGUGUUUGGGCGAGCUUCUAACCGUCUCGUUACGGAGACAACUUUAUGACCUCUGACCUCAAAUCAGGUAGGACUACCCGCUGAACUUAAGCAUAUCAAUAAGCGGAGGA
rnacentral:rRNA from 1 species